CCUACGGGAGGCUGCAGUGGGGAAUAUUGGGCAAUGGGCGCAAGCCUGACCCAGCAACGCCGCGUGAAGGAAGAAGGCUUUCGGGUUGUUAACUUCUUUUAAGGGGGAGGAGAAGAAGACGGUACCCCUUUAAUAAGCCACGGCUAACUACGUGCCAGCAGCCGCGGUAAUACGUAGGUGGCAAGCGUUGUCCGGAUUUACUGGGUGUAAAGGGCGUGCAGCCGGGGAGACAAGCCCGACGUGAAAUCCACGGGCUCAACCCGGAAAGUGCAUUGGAAAAUGUUGACCUUGAGUGUCGGGGAGGUAAUCGGAAUUCCUGGUGUAGCGGUGAAAUGCGUAGAUAUAAGGAAGAACACCAGUGGCGAAGGCGGAUUACUGGACGGUAACUGACGGUGAGGCGCGAAAGCGUGGGGAGCGAACAGGAUUAGAUACCCUAGUAGUC
rnacentral:rRNA from 1 species